UGGUUUACCGCUCCGGUGCCCUAUUGGUUAGAGCGUCCGCCUCGGAAGAGGGAGGUUGUGGGUUCGAUCCCCGGCUGAGUCAU